AGGACGAACGCUGGCGGCGUGCUUAACACAUGCAAGUCGAGCGGAAAGGCCCUUCGGGGUACUCGAGCGGCGAACGGGUGAGUAACACGUGAGCAACCUGCCCUUAGCUCCGGGAUAGCUCCGGGAAACCGGAAUUAAUACCGGAUACGACCACGGCCGACAUCUGCUGUGGUGGAAAGGAUUCCGGCUAAGGAUGGGCUCGCGGCCUAUCAGCUAGUUGGUGGAGUAACGGCCCACCAAGGCGACGACGGGUAGCCGGCCUGAGAGGGCGACCGGCCACGACUGGGACUGAGACACGGCCCAGACUCCUACGGGAGGCAGCAGUGGGGAAUUUUGCGCAAUGGGGGAAACCCUGACGCAGCAACGCCGCGUGGAGGAUGAAGUAUCUUGGUACGUAAACUCCUUUCGAUUGGGAAGAUAAUGACGGUACCAAUAGAAGAAGCCCCGGCUAACUUCGUGCCAGAGCGC
rnacentral:rRNA from 1 species